rnacentral:rRNA from 1 species
GAGUUUGAUCUUGGCUCAGAUUGAACGCUGGCGGCAGGCCUAACACAUGCAAGUCGAGCGGAUGAAGGGAGCUUGCUCCUGGAUUCAGCGGCGGACGGGUGAGUAAUGCCUAGGAAUCUGCCUGGUAGUGGGGAUAACGUCCGGAAACGGGCGCUAAUACCGCAUACGUCCUGAGGGAGAAAGUGGGGGAUCUUCGGACCUCACGCUAUCAGAUGAGCCUAGGUCGGAUUAGCUAGUUGGUGGGGUAAAGGCCUACCAAGGCGACGAUCCGUAACUGGUCUGAGAGGAUGAUCAGUCACACUGGAACUGAGACACGGUCCAGACUCCCACGGGAGGCAGCAGUGGGGAAUAUUGGACAAUGGGCGAAAGCCUGAUCCAGCCAUGCCGCGUGUGUGAAGAAGGUCUUCGGAUUGUAAAGCACUUUAAGUUGGGAGGAAGGGCAGUAAGUUAAUACCUUGCUGUUUUGACGUUACAACAGAAUAAGCACCGGCUAACUUCGUGCCAGCCGCCGCGGUAAGACCG